UACGGGGGGGGCAAGCGUUGUUCGGAAUUACUGGGCGUAAAGGGCUCGUAGGCGGCCAACUAAGUCAGACGUGAAAUCCCUCGGCUUAACCUGGGAACUGCGUCGGAUACUGGAUGGCUUGAAUCCGGGAGAGGGAUGCAGAAUUCCAGGUGUAGCGGUGAAAUGCGUAGAUAUCUGGAGGAAUACCGGUGGCGAAGGCGGCAUCCUGGACCGGCAUUGACGCUGAGGAGCGAAAGCCAGGGGAGCAAACGGG
rnacentral:rRNA from 1 species